rnacentral:rRNA from 1 species
AUUGAACGCUGGCGGCAUGCUUUACACAUGCAAGUCGAACGGCAGCGCGGGCUUCGGCCUGGCGGCGAGUGGCGAACGGGUGAGUAAUGCAUCGGAACGUGCACAGUAGUGGGGGAUAGCCCGGCGAAAGCCGGAUUAAUACCGCAUACGACCUGAGGGUGAAAGCGGGGGACCGAAAGGCCUCGCGCUAUUGGAGCGGCCGAUGUCGGAUUAGCUAGUUGGUGGGGUAAAGGCUUACCAAGGCGACGAUCCGUAGCUGGUCUGAGAGGACGACCAGCCACACUGGGACUGGGACACGGCCCAGACUCCUACGGGAGGCAGCAGUGGGGAAUUUUGGACAAUGGGGGCAACCCUGAUCCAGCCAUGCCGCGUGCGGGAAGAAGGCCUUCGGGUUGUAAACCGCUUUUGUUCGGGAAGAAAUCCUCUGGGCUAAUACCCCGGGGGGAUGACGGUACCGGAAGAAUAAGCACCGGCUAACUACGUG